AGAGUUUGAUCCUGGCUCAGAACGAACGCUGGCGGCAUGCCUAACACAUGCAAGUCGAACGAGACCUUCGGGUCUAGUGGCGCACGGGUGCGUAACGCGUGGGAAUCUGCCCUUGGGUUCGGAAUAACAGUUGGAAACGACUGCUAAUACCGGAUGAUGACGUAAGUCCAAAGAUUUAUCGCCCAGGGAUGAGCCCGCGUAGGAUUAGCUAGUUGGUGAGGUAAAGGCUCACCAAGGCGACGAUCCUUAGCUGGUCUGAGAGGAUGAUCAGCCACACUGGGACUGAGACACGGCCCAGACUCCUACGGGAGGCAGCAGUGGGGAAUAUUCGGACAAUGGGCGAAAGCCUGAUCCAGCAAUGCCGCGUGAGUGAUGAAGGCCUUAGGGUUGUAAAGCUCUUUUACCCGGGAUGAUAAUGACAGUACCGGGAGAAUAAGCCCCGGCUAACUCCGUGCCAGCAGCCGCGGUAACACGGAGGGGGCUAGCGUUGUUCGGAAUUACUGGGCGUAAAGCGCACGUAGGCGGUUAUUCAUGUCUGAGGUGAAAGCCCGGAGCUCCACUCCGGAAUUGCCUUUGAAACUANAUAACUUGAAUCCAUGAAAGGUAAGUGGAAUNCCUANUGUANAUGUAACAUUCGUAAAUNUUCGGAAAANCACCGUUUGGCNAG
rnacentral:rRNA from 1 species